ACACAUACGACCUUCCGGUCUCACAGUCAAACCCUUCCGGGUGAAGUAUAGUGAGAAGACUCACCUCGUAGUAUGCAAGCUAUAAACUCUUCGGGCUACUCGCACACGAUCCGCUAAUCCGCAGGUUCCCUAUAAUACCACAUCCUUUGUUAAUGAUCUUAUCAAACAAGACCACUGACCCUACUAAGUUAUAUACAGGUCAACGGUCAACCUUGACCGGACUCGUCGAGUCCAAAGGGUAACUCGACGAGUAUAGACACCCUGACACCACUCGCCGAGUCUGAAGAACGACUCGACGAGUUCCUGUAGAUCUUCAAGCUACUCGCCGAGUCUGAAGAACAACUCGGCGAGUCCUAGUGAACCUUCAAGCUACUCGCCGAGUCUGAAGAACAACUCGGCGAGUUCUAGUGAAUCUUCAAGCUACUCGCCGAGUCUGAUCAUUGGACUCGGCGAGUCCUCGCCAUGCAGUCAAUCCGCUGCCUCCUGUAUUUCGCAUGAUUUCGAAGUAUAUAGAUAUAGGGCUUCCUGGACUUUCACAUAUACUAUUACGGGGUUUUUUAACACUUAUAACAACAAUAUAAUCUAACUAACCCUUAAUUGGGUUUCCUAAACCCUAAACUCGCAUACAACGUAAAAGUUACAGAUUUCGAUCCGAAGAUUACCUGGAAACGUGUUCCCUGUGUCUCCAAACCUCCAGUACUCGAUUCCUUUGAUCACCACCUUGCUCCUCCUUGUCUAACAAUCUCUUCAAGCCUUCUCAAGUCCUCUCUCUUGCUUCAGAUGCUCACACACUCCCAGGGGAUCUUCAACCGGCCAAAAGACGCGACAUGACGGCCAUAAGAUCGUUAUAUACGAUCAGAAAUGAAACGGCUAGGGUUCAGCUGAACGGCGUCGACUCGCCGAGUCCCUUAUUGGACUCGUCGAGUCCAGUCGCGCGUCUGCGACCAAGACCAUGGCCCUACUCGGCGAGUCGUGCACCAACUCGCCGAGUCCCCUCCUAAAUGUGCCCCAAAAAUAAUUUAAAGAAAUACCUGAAAUUCCGGGCUGUUACAACUCUCCCCCACUAGAACUAGACUUCGCCCUCGAAGUCUCUCAUUCUGCGAAUAACUCCGGAUGUUGCUCCCGCAUUUCUCUUUCCGGCUCCCAAGUCAUCUCCGAUCCCUUCCGAUGUUGCCACUGAACCAACACCAGAGGUAUUUCCUUGUUCCGUAGAACCUUGAUCUUCCGAUCCCUGAUAGCUACUGGUCUCUCGGCGUAAUUCAGACUCGCAUCUACCUGGAUAUCUUCUAACGGAACCACUGCUGCCUCAUCGGCUAUACACUUCCUCAGCUGUGAUACGUGGAAGGUAUUGUGAAUCUGAUUCAGCUCCGCUGGCAACUCCAACCGAUAAGCUACCCGACCUACCCUUGCAAUUACCCGAAAUGGACCUAUGAACCGGGGCCCCAAUUUGCCCCUCUUCCUGAACCGAAUCACCCCUUUCCAAGGAGAAACCUUUAGGAGAACGAAGUCGCCGACCUGGAAUUCGAGCUCGGACCGGCGUCUGUCCGCAUAACUCUUCUGUCGGCUCUGGGCGGUCAAUAACCUCUGCCUCACCCGUUGGAUCUGUUCAGUCGUUUGAAGUACGAUCUCUGUACUGCCCAUCACUCUCUGUCCCACUUCUCCCCAGCAAAUGGGAGUCCGACACCUCCUACCAUACAACAACUCAAAAGGUGGCAUACCAAUGCUCGAAUGAUGGCUGUUGUUGUAGGAAAACUCAGCCAGCGGCAGAUGCGCAUCCCAGCUACCCCCGAAGUCUAACACACACGCUCUAAGCAUAUCUUCCAAUGUCUGGAUCGUCCGCUCGCUUUGACCGUCGGUCUGGGGAUGGUAUGCGGUACUAAAAUGCAGUUUAGUACCCAACUCCUCAUGGAAUUUCUUCCAGAACCUGGAAGUGAAACGUACAUCGCGGUCCGAAACAAUCGAGGUCGGCACUCCAUGCCGAGAUACUAUCUCUCUCACGUACAACUCCGCCAACUUCUCUGCUGAUGAACUUUCACUAAUGGCAAGGAAAUGUGCACUCUUUGUUAGUCUAUCCACAAUCACCCAAAUCGCAUCGACUCCCCUGGCAGUUUUCGGCAAUUUGGUGAUGAAAUCCAUCGUGAUCUGAUCCCACUUCCACUCAGGGAUCUCCAAGGGUUGCAACUUACCGUGCGGUCUCUGGUGCUCGGCCUUAACUUUACGGCAGGUCAAACACCUCUCCACGAACCACGCAACGUCUCUCUUCAUGCAAGGCCACCAGUACUCCUUUUUCAAAUCCAGAUACAUUUUCGUAGCACCGGGAUGGAUCGAGAAUUUCGAUCUAUGUGCCUCCUCCAUCAAAAUGACACGCGUACCGCCCACGAAUGGCACCCAGAUCCGACCCUGAAAUGUCAGAAGUCCCCGCCCAUCCGUAACGAACUCUGAAAUUAACCCGACGACCCGCUCCUGUUUCUGCAUCCCAGACUUCACAACCUCGGCCUGUGCCCCACGAAUAGUAUCUAAUACCGGAGUCACCACCGUCAAUCUCAAACAUACGUCCCGCAAUGGAGUACCCUCCGCCCUACGACUCAAUGCAUCGGCUACCACAUUAGCCUUGCCUGGGUGGUAUAGGAUCUCACAGUCAUAAUCCUUAACCACGUCUAACCAUCUCCUCUGGCGCAUGUUUAGGUUGGGUUGAUCCAUCAAAUACUUCAAACUCUUAUGGUCCGUGUAUAUGGUACAACGAACCCCGUACAGGUAGUGACGCCAAAUUUUGAGGGCGAACACUACUGCCCCCAACUCUAAGUCAUGCGUGGGAUAUCUCGCUUCGUGAGGCUUCAGCUGCCUCGAUGCAUAGGCUAUCACAUGGCCCCUCUGCAUCAACACUGCACCCAGUCCUGAAAUCGAUGCGUCGCAAUAUACGACGAAGUCCUCCAUCCCUUCAGGAAGGGCUAAUACUGGUGCUUCGCACAGUCUCUGACGAAGUGUCUCGAAGGAAGUCUGCUGCUCGGGUCCCCAUGAGAAUGUAACACCCUUUCGGGUCAAUUUGGUAAGUGGCACUGCGAUCUUGGAGAAGUCCCUAAUGAACCUUCGAUAGUACCCUGCCAACCCAAGGAAACUCCUGAUCUCCGAAGGUGACUUUGGUGCCUCCCAUCUCAUCACCGCCUCCACCUUGGCCGGAUCGACCAAUAUCCCUGCCUGAUUUACAACGUGCCCCAGAAAUUGAACCUCCCGUAACCAGAAGUCACAUUUGGAGAAUUUUGCAUAUAGCUUCUCCGACCUCAGUACCUCAAGGACCUCCCUCAAAUGUCCCUCAUGCUGCUCCCUAGACCGCGAAUACACCAGAAUGUCGUCGAUGAAUACAAUCACAGACCGAUCCAGCAUCGGCCUGCAUACCCUGUUCAUGAGAUCCAUGAACACUGCUGGGGCAUUGGUGAGCCCAAAAGGCAUCACCACGAACUCGUAAUGCCCAUACCGCGUCCUAAAGGCUGUCUUCUGGACGUCCUCAUCCCGCACCCUUACCUGAUGGUACCCUGAUCUCAAAUCAAUCUUGGAAAACCAAGAUGCCCCUUGCAACUGAUCGAAUAGAUCAUCGAUUCUUGGUAACGGAUAGCGGUUCUUAACUGUCACCUUGUUCAGUUCCCGGUAAUCGAUACACAUCCGGUGUGAACCAUCCUUCUUCUUGACGAACAGAAUCGGUGCUCCCCACGGCGAGCUACUCGGCCGAAUAAAUCCCUUCCCCAACAACUCUUGAAGUUGCGAGGACAAUUCUUGCAUCUCUGGAGGUGCAAGACGAUAAGGCACCUUCGCAAUAGGCGCCGCCCCUGGAACUAGGUCGAUACCAAACUCCACUUGCCUCGCAGGAGGUAUUCCCGGCAAAUCCUCGGGGAAAACAUCUGGAAACUCGCGCACCACUGGAACCUCCUUCAAUGUCUUCGGUCUCUCGGAACUCUCCCGCGUAUCCAUCACAUACGCCACAAAACCGUUACAUCCCCGCUGUAGGCAUUGCCUCGCCCUAGCAGCCGAACAAAAAGCUGAUCUCGAACGGGUACCCUCGCCGUACACCGUAAGAACUCCCCCACUAGGGUCUCGUAUAGUCACCAACUGACGCUCGCAGUCGAUGACAGCGCUGAAUCGGCUCAACCAGUCCAUGCCUACAAUGACACAGACAUCACCCAUCGCAAUAGGAAUUAGGUCAAUCGGAAAUGCGACCCCGAAGAUCUCUAGCACACAUCCCCGAAAAACCUCCGUAGCACAAAUCACCCUCUCAGCCGCAAUGGAAACGCUCAAAGGCCGACUUAACGGCUCACGACUAAUGCCGAUGUGCUGACUAAAAGCUAACGAUACAAACGAUCUACUCGCACCCGAAUCAAAUAAUACUAGAGCAGGCAUAGAGUUCACAAGGAAAGUACCUACACAUACAUUAACAUAAGCAUAACAUUUCGACCUUUAAUUAAAUACAUGAAAGAUAACAUACCUGCCACAACAUCGGGCGCAGCGCGGACCUCCUCCGCAGUCAGCUGAAAGGCUCUCCCGCGAGCCCUCGGGGCCUCGACCUUCACCGGUCGGGUCUCAGUAGUCCGGGUAGUAGGUGUAGCUCCCUGACGAAGUUGCGGGCACUCGGCCUUCCGAUGGCCUGUCUGGUUGCAGUGAAAGCAAACCAUAAACCCCUUAGGGCAAUCCCUGGCAAUAUGUCCCUCCUUGCCACACUUGUAGCAACCACCAGCUCGACACGCCCCCUCGUGACUCUUGCCGCACUUCGCGCAAGUGCGACCCUUCGAACCUCCCAUCCUCGAAUCAGCGAACUUAGUCCGCUUGGCUGCCGGCUGAGACUGGGCCGGCCGUCGAUCCACCUGCCGAGACUCAGCCUCCUCCCUCGCUUGAGUCUCCAACUCAAUCUCGCGCUUCCUGGCGUUCGCCUGAAGCUCAGUGAAAGUACGAUAGGUGGAGUUUGACACAAACUCCCGAAUCUCCCUCUUCAAAACACCCAAAUAGCGGCUCAUCCGCGACUGCUCCGUAGAUACCAGCUCGGGGCAGAACAUUGCCCUCUCAUGAAACUUCCGUGUGAUCACUGCCACGGAAUCAGUACCCUGCUUAAGGGUCAAGAACUCCUGAAUCAAUCGCUCCCUCUCUACCGGGGGAACGUACUCAUCCCUGAACAUCUCCGUAAACCUCUCCCAUGUCACCGCCGAAAUCUCUGCCUGAGUGAAGUUCGCUGUCACGAACUUCCACCAAUCCUUCGCUCCCAGACGGAGCUGGUUCAAGGCGAACCGUACCCUCAAGUGCUCCGGGCAUGAGCAAGUAUAGAAACACCCCUCGAUGUCGGCGAUCCACCUCAUAGCUGCAAUCGGAUCCUGCGUCCCAUCAAAUUCAGGGGGUUUCGUGUUGCUGAAUUCCCUGAAUAGUAAUGAAUCACCCCCUUGCGGCCUGGCAGCAGCCACCGCUGCGGUAGCGGCAGUAACUGCAGCUUCAGUAAGUGCGGCGUACCGCUCCUCAAACUCCUCCAUCAACGUGGUCUUAAUAGACCCAAACAUCUCCGGGAUCUCAGCCCGGACCGCCGCAGCUACCUCUUCCUGAAUAAUCUGACGAAUCUCCUCGUCACUCGCACCGCUCGAACUCGCCCCAUUGCGUGUGAUAACCAUGAUGUCUCUGAAAUACAACAUAAAAUCAUCAGAGACUCCACCAAGUACAAUUGUACUCGAUACGCGCCCUACCCAGUCUCCGAUUUCCAGGGAUUCUUAUUUGAGUCUUCCACUGAUCCGGUGCCUUCGAUAGUACGGGCCCAAUACUACCGACCACACCGUAUCAGUAUUCGUCCCAAAUCUUCCUCCCCAAAUCCCGAAUAAUGAGUACUCUACCUCUAGUAUGCACUAUCUACUUGCACGCUACCAAAUAUCUCAUAUAAGCAAUCUCCCUAGACUAAGGCAUCACAAAACAGGCAAUUCUAGUCCUAUCAUGUAUACCUAGUCUUCUAGCAUGCAUAACAAUUCAUAAUUCAGUGCAUAACAUAACAUCGUAAGGUAUUCUGGGGAUCUUUACCGUUCGGACGCUGGCUGCUCGUACACACUGUUCCAUCCUUGUUUUACCGCCUUACCGUUUAUAAAAUGUUGUGUCCUUAUUAUUUAAAAAGGUUUUUCCUCAAAUCCCCGGUCUGAGUUCAGUUGCACCCAAAAGUACACCCGAAUCCCUCAAACCAAGGCUCUGAUACCAAUUGUAACAGCUCAAAUUUUCAAAUAAAUUUUUCAUUAAAAACAAAACAUCAUUAUUCGACAAAAGGGUUUUAUUCCAAGUUUAUUUCAAAAAUAUAAAUAAUAAAUCUCCAGGAUCUUCAACAGUGGCAGUGUGUACGUGUCACGCCGGCGCCUUUCCACGGUCAUCACUAGUACCUGAAAAACAUAAACACAACUAGUAAGCAUAAAUGCUUAGUGAGUUCCCCAGUAUACGACUUACCCACAUACGCCUUCCGGCCCGGACCUUUCGGUCCACAUAACAUUGCCUUCCGGCCCGUAAUAUAAUCGCCUUCCGGCCCAUAAUAUAUAUCGCCUUCCGGCCCGUAUUAGAUUGCCUUCCGGCCCAUAGUAUUUUGCCUUCCGGCCCACGAUAGUAUAAAACAUAACACAUGUAACAUAAUACACAUAACACAUAAAUCAUACAUCAUACCGUCCUUUCUAUCACAUAGAGUCUCGCCUUCCGGCCCGUAUAAGCAUACAUCACAUAUAAGCACACAUCACAUAUAAAGCAUCUACCCCUCUAGACAUAGCAUGAAUAUAACACAUACGACCUUCCGGUCUCACAGUCAAACCCUUCCGGGUGAAGUAUAGUGAGAAGACUCACCUCGUAGUAUGCAAGCUAUAAACUCUUCGGGCUACUCGCACACGAUCCGCUAAUCCGCAGGUUCCCUAUAAUACCACAUCCUUUGUUAAUGAUCUUAUCAAACAAAACCACUGACCCUACUAAGUUAUAUACAGGUCAACGGUCAACCUUGACCGGACUCGUCGAGUCCAAAGGGUAACUCGACGAGUAUAGACACCCUGACACUACUCGCCGAGUCUGAAGAACGACUCGACGAGUUCCUGUAGAUCUUCAAGCUACUCGCCGAGUCUGAAGAACAACUCGGCGAGUCCUAGUGAACCUUCAAGCUACUCGCCGAGUCUGAUCAUUGGACUCGGCGAGUCCUCACCAUGCAGUCAAUCCGCUGCCUCCUGUACUUCGCAUGAUUUCGAAGUACUUAGAUGUGGGGCUUCCUGGACUUUCACAUAUACUAAUACAGGGGUUUAACACUUAUAACAACAAUAUAAUCCAACAAAUCCUUAAAUGGGUUUCCUAAACCCUAAACUCGUAUACAACGUAAAAGCUACGGAUUUCGAUCCGAAGAUUACCUGGAAACGUGUUCCUUGUGUCUCCAAACCUCCAGUCCUCGAUUCCUUUGAUCACCACCUUGCUCCUCC
rnacentral:lncRNA from 1 species